GCGUCAGGGUCGGGAUGGAACCCACGACCUCCUGUACACCAGGCGAGGUAGCUAACAUCUCCUAGCCACCAUGGACAGGGUCAUGAGGCUGUGGUUCUCAACCUUUGUGGUGGAGGAGUAUAGCUCACCGUGUGAGCAGGAGGAGGAGAGGAGCUAGAGCAGUGGUUCUUAACCUUUACAAUGUUGUUACACACAGAGGGUUUGAUCAAUGUACAAUGUUGUUACACACAGAGGGUUUGAUCAAUUUACAAUGUUGUUACACACAGAGGGUUUGAUCAAUCUACAAUGUUGUUACACAUAGAGGGUUUGAUCAAUGUACAAUGUUGUUACACACAGAGGGUUUGAUCAAUUUACAAUGUUGUUACACACAGAGGGUUUGAUCAAUUUACAAUGUUGUUACACACAGAGGGUUUGAUCAAUUUACAAUGUUGUUACACACAGAGGGUUUGAUCAAUCUACAAUGUUGUUACACAUAGAGGGUUUGAUCAAUGUACAAUGUUGUUACACACAGAGGGUUUGAUCAAUGUACAAUGUUGUUACACACAGAGGGUUUGAUCAAUCUACAACGUUGUUACACACAGAGGGUUUGAUCAAUUUACAAUGUUGUUACACACAGAGGGUUUGAUCAAUUUACAAUGUUGUUACACACAGAGGGUUUGAUCAAUUUACAAUGUUGUUACACACAGAGGGUUUGAUCAAUGUACAAUUUUGUUACACACAGAGGGUUUGAUCAAUGUACAAUGUUGUUACACACAGAGGGUUUGAUCAAUUUACAAUGUUGUUACAUACAGAGGGUUUGAUCAAUUUACAAUGUUGUUACACACAGAGGGUUUGAUCAAUGUACAAUGUUGUUACACACAGAGGGUUUGAUCAAUUUACAAUGUUGUUACACACAGAGGGUUUGAUCAAUGUACAAUGUUGUUACACACAGAGGGUUUGAUCAAUGUACAAUGUUGUUACACACAGAGGGUUUGAUCAAUUUACAAUGUUGUUACACACAGAGGGUUUGAUCAAAUCAAAGUAAGUUGUAACUCAA